rnacentral:rRNA from 1 species
UGGUGGGGUAAUGGCCUACCAAGGCGACGACGGGUAGCCGGCCUGAGAGGGUGACCGGCCACACUGGGACUGAGACACGGCCCAGACUCCUACGGGAGGCAGCAGUGGGGAAUAUUGCACAAUGGGCGCAAGCCUGAUGCAGCGACGCCGCGUGAGGGAUGACGGCCUUCGGGUUGUAAACCUCUUUCAGUAGGGAAGAAGCGAAAGUGACGGUACCUGCAGAAGAAGCGCCGGCUAACUACGUGCCAGCAGCCGCGGUAAUACGUAGGGCGCAAGCGUUAUCCGGAAUUAUUGGGCGUAAAGAGCUCGUAGGCGGUUUGUCGCGUCUGCUGUGAAAGACCGGGGCUCAACUCCGGUUCUGCAGUGGGUACGGGCAGACUAGAGUGAUGUAGGGGAGACUGGAAUUCCUGGUGUAGCGGUGAAAUGCGCAGAUAUCAGGAGGAACACCGAUGGCGAAGGCAGGUCUCUGGGCAUUAACUGACGCUGAGGAGCGAAAGCAUGGGGAGCGAACAGGAUUAGAUACCCUGGUAGUCCAUGCCGUAAACGUUGGGCACUAGGUGUGGGGGACAUUC